rnacentral:rRNA from 1 species
AACGAACGCUGGCGGCAGGCCUAACACAUGCAAGUCGAGCGCGCCUUCGGGUGAGCGGCGGACGGGUUAGUAACGCGUGGGAACGUGCCCUUCUGUUGAGGAUAGCCCCGGGAAACUGGGAGUAAUACUCGAUACGCCCUUCGGGGAAGGAAGGAUCGGCCCGCGUUAGAUUAGAUAGUUGGUGGGGUAACGGCCUACCAAGUCGACGAUCUAUAGCUGGUUUGAGAGGAUGAUCAGCAACACUGGGACUGAGACACGGCCCAGACUCCUACGGGAGGCAGCAGUGGGGAAUCUUAGACAAUGGGCGCAACCCUGAUCUAGCCAUGCCGCGUGAGUGACGAAGGCCCUAGGGUCGUAAAGCUCUUUCGCCAGGGAUGAUAAUGACAGUACCUGGUAAGAACCCCGGCUAACUCCGUGCCAGCGCCGCGGUAA